rnacentral:tRNA from 1 species
GCAAUGGUGGUUCACUGGUAGAAUUCUCACCUUCCAUGCAGGAGACCCAGGUUUAAUUCCUGGCCAAUGUA